CUCGGUGGCGGUGAUCUGAAAUCAUCUCUGGCUCCAUAUCUAUCAAUUUCACCGUGUACACUGCCACCACUCCCGCCACCGCCGGCAGCACUGCCGCCCUUCCGGUCAAAUAGCAUCAAUUCAAGUCUUUGAUCUAAAUACAUAGCAUAAGUCCUAACAAACGCAGAAUGAUCCCAAGAACUGGAGUGCGCUUCAUCUCUAAAAUCGGACAUGUUCAAAAGUCUCGUUCCUCUCCUCGUAGCAUACAAAAUCUCUUCUUGAAACAGCGGAUCUCCCUCGUUUAACAGCCUAUGAAUCAGCAUCAAAGCCUUGAGCGCCACAAUCCAGUCCCUUGUCUUCCCCAGCCGCUUCGACACUGCCGCCACGCAAGCGUGCACGUAACCACGAGAAUACGACGUCAAAUUCAAGAUCUCCCUUAUGUACUUAUCGUUCGCCGGGUCAUCGUCGUGGCUCGUCGCCUUAACUAUCGCCACCUCCAGCUCCGGUGCCAUGUUACUCGCUACCUUGGCUAUUCCAAUGCUGGUUUGAUCCUUAACGGUCCCAAUCGCUUUUCGGAUCGUGCUCGGCGCCAUCUCGACCGUUCGAUUGAACCAAAACCUCUUGCUAUACACCGAUGUAACGCCUUACCACUGCAUUAUUGAGCGUCAGUAUACGAAUCAAUGCAAUUCAGUUGUAAUCAAGUUAGUUAUAAGUAUGAUUAGUGAAGUAAUUUAGUGCAGAUUAAACCUUACCGCUGUCGGUUUUAAGGUUGUUAACUUGUAUGGAUCCGGUACGAGGAGUUUUCCGGCUGGUGAACGUCGGAUCUACUAAGAACGGAGAAGUCAGAUAGACGGAAGAAAACGGCGAGUCGUUUUGUUCCCGCUCUAGAUUCUCUGUAAGAAAGGAGAUGAAAUGGCCAAGGAAGAGGAAAAGAAAAAGUAUAUUUAAAUAGUGGGUUGAGAUCCGGAGACACGUGGAGAAAUGAGGGACGUCGAUAUAAAAGAGAAUGGAAAAUGGAAAGAGACAGCUAUAUCAUCGGAAGUGUCGGAAGGGGCGGGCGUGCGCUUGUCUGAAAAGGAAAGGAUUUUUCUGUGUGUGUGUGUGCAAGCAAGGAGUUGAAGAAGAAGACGGAGUAAAACUGGAAAGAAAAGACGGAAGCUCGGUUUUGAUACCAUGGGCGUGGGAUUAUUUUAAUUACCAUAUUGCG
rnacentral:misc_RNA from 1 species